CGAGUUCCCGUACGAUCACUGAAGUUAAGCAACGUCCAGCCUGGUCAGUACCUAGAUGGGUAACCACUUAGGAAUACCAGGUGCUGCAAG